rnacentral:rRNA from 1 species
UACGUAGGUGGCAAGCGUUGUCCGGAUUUAUUGGGUUUAAAGGGUGCGUAGGCGGCCCUGUAAGUCAGUGCUGAAAUAUCCCAGCUUAACUGGGAGGGUGGCAUUGAUACUGCGGGGCUAGAGUACAGAUGAGGUAGGCGGAAUUGACGGUGUAGCGGUGAAAUGCUUAGAUAUCGUCAAGAACACCUAUAGCGAAGGCAGCUUACUAGGCUGUAACUGACGCUGAGGCACGAAAUUGUGGGGAUCAAACAGG